GUUGGAAGCUGUACGCAGGUUUGCCUGAUGCAGAAGCCUAUAUUCCUUCCACUCCAUGAUGCUGAAACAGGUUUUCAUUCUUCCCUUUCUCCCAGGAACACCAGCCCCAUCUUUUCACCAUGGAGCUUCCAGAGCUGACUUUGAAGUAUAAAGAGAAAGACCGGAUGUUGGGCCACAGUAGAGGGCUUCCACCAAAGGAGGGGUCUGGGGGCAAAGCAGGCAAAGAGGCAAGCUCCAGGCAGGGGCUGCCAGCAAGCAGGCUUCUCUCGAUGGGUACAACAGUGCUGUAAAGCUGACAAACAGAGUUUGGCUUCACUUGAAGGUGUGAAAAGAACAGCCUGACUCUGAGAGGCAAGUCCGCCAAGCCCAGGACCCUAGGGCACCUGGUUCUCACCAUUGCCUGCAAUGCCGCAGCCACUUCCCAAGUCAGGAGGGCAGCUGAAGUCCUGCACUGGGGACAGUUGGGUCAGCUGUGUCUGUUAGACAUCCCCCGAUGACACAGAAUGCCUCUCUCCUCUGAGAGCAGGACAGUGUGUUUAGACAGUCCCUGGUAAAUGUGAGCAGCCAUGAGAAAGGCAGCCUUAAGUGGCUCAAAUUAACCUCUUCUAUGGAUACAGAGUUGAGCUCCAUCAUUCACUCCCCACGAGAGAAAGAUUGCUGUGGCCUUAAGCAGUGGAAGCAGAACUGUUAUUAUUAUUUUUAAGUUGAUGCAAAAAAGGACUUCUUUCUCCACUUUGAAUAUGUUGUCAUCUUGGGUGAGGCAAGAGGACCAUGUAAGGUGGUGACAAGCACUGUUGGCUUUUUUGGGAGAGCAUUGGCUGACUCCAUCCACUACUCUGGGGUGACAAGACGGGAAAAACCACGGUUUACCAGGCAGGUGUUGGGAUUAAGAUACACUUUCAUUUUCAAAGCACUUUGCAGUCAUUAACUAAGUGCUCACCCCUAAUUCUCUUCUAGGUUGAGCUUGGCCAUGGUCUCCCCAUGCUGUCUCCCUUGCCUCUUCUCUGAGUCUCAAGGAACAUGCUGUCACUGGCAGAUAUAAGAACAUCUUGUGCUUUAUAUAUAUUUUUAAACCUUACUGGGUUGCUUGUCUAACUCACCCCUCCAGUAGCUUAGUGAGAUUAAUGCCUCUUUCUAAACUGUGAUAACCAAGAGAUACUUUCCAGCAAAUGCGAAUGGGGCUUUAAAGUGCUGCGAGGCAGGAUGACAAGAUCUUGGGUGAGUUUCAGGUAUUACAAAGAACAUUUUGAUUUCCUUUUCAGAGGAAAUGUAGAAGGGCUUUAUCAGCGUAGGUAACACUAUAGAGCUGAGUGAAAUGUAAAUGAAAUUCCCAGUUUUCAUUUUCCCGCUUCAUUUGAUAUUUGUGGGUUUUAGAAGUAGGACCAGCUGGAUUCAUCUGCAGAAAAAGCCAUGUGGCUGCGGAGCUCCUUCCGUUGUUAAGAAGUGUGCCUUUGGGCUAAGGGGAAAUGUUCUGAAGGCAGAUCUGGAUGUGAAUUUUGGUUCAGAUAUUUAUUAACCGUGGGACCCUAGGCAAGCUGGUUUCUGAGCUUUGAUUUCCUCAUCUGUAAAAGGAGGAUAAUAAUGGAUACCUCAAAGAGUUAUAAAGAUCAGAAGUAAAAUACAUGCAAAGAAGUAGAGAGGGCUGUUUCAAGUCGCUUACUUUUAUUUUAACAUACAGCUGGUGGGCCAGGAGAGAGUGAAAACAAAGCCACUGGAUAGUGAGAGGAUAGAGGGUGCUCCACAGACGCGAACUGCAUCUUUAUGUUUACAUAGAAGGGAGAGUGAAGGAGCAAAUGUGGGCAACAGCUGUCAGUGACACAUCAUUACCCCAACAGCCAGAAACAAGAUAAGCGCCUUGCAGGGGCCCUUAACUGACUGCUGGGUUCGAUGGUUCAAAGAGAAAAAGCACGUGAUAACUUUGAAGGAGGCUGCCUGGCUGAGCUGAUCGGAUCACCUAGAGACUGGAAAUGCUUUCUGGCAGUGCCUGAUCCUCUACUGGGUGUUCAACACUGGCUGCAUUUAUGGAGACCACAGACAAAAGAUGGAAACAGCCUCCACCGGCAUGGGGAUCAGGCAUGGGGCAAACACAGGAGACAAAACAGGAGAAUCUCCCGAGAACACCCUCUGAUCAGCACUCUGCAUGCAAUUUCCAUCUCAGACUCUGUUUCUAGGAAGACUUUCAGGCAGCUGACACUGGACGUGGUUGUGAGUUGCAGGCCCUAAUGAAAAAUUGGAGAGGAAGCAGGUGGCCGGCUGAUGAAAUGAUAACCAGAAGGCCUGUGGGCUUGGGUGGCUGAGGCUGAGGCUACUGAGUGUUGAAGAGAGAGAGGCAGAGGCGCAGGAUGACUCAUCACUGGUUUCAGGCAAACUGUGAAAGCCAGAGCACUUCCUUGGCAGCAUUUAAGAAAACCCCGAUGAUCUGCAGCUGGAAGGCAGGUUGGCUGGAGGACCAGUCUGAACCCUGAGUAGGUUAAGUUCUCAGUCCUUCAGACACAGGGCUCUAAUGGGAAAGAGGUGAGACCCUUACACUUAGGGUGGGAGCCCUGGACAGUUGGGAACCCUGAACACUUACAUGCCCCUGAGUCCCCUGGGCCUGCAGAAAUGGCCUAUUUCUCAUGUCAUGUAGAAGAUUGUAGACUGCUUGAACCUGGGAGGCGGAGCUUGCAGUGAGCCCAGAUUGCACCAUUGCACUCCAGCCUGGGCAACAGAGCGAGACUCGGUCAAAAAAAAAAAAAAAAAAAAGCAAGACUUUCCUUUUCUGAAGAUCAUACAGAGGUCUCAAAUGAGUCUGAAGUCACCUGCCCUAUCUGGACAUUCCAUAGACUACCACUUUUACCCACGACUUCGAUGUGGCAUGCUCAUUGGACCAGAUAAGCAAGCAGUGGCAAGUGGAUUGGAGGUCUUGGUAACCAGUUCAACCAAAAUCCUGGGACAGCUGUUCCCUGAUGCGGCACACUUCCUAGAAGAAGCAAGUGAAUUUAAAGCAGAGUGAACUGUAGAGGAGUUCACGACCAAAUCUCUGAUGCUUUCCCCAGAUCUUUCUUCAGGGCCAACACAUCCAUUGCUCAGCUGUGAUAGACAGCAGUCAGGGGUGGCUCACCUCUCUCACUGGGAAUUGCUCUCAGCAGUAGGGAACUCAUUCAGGGUUAAGGCAUCUCCUUGAGGAGGCCCAUGUUCAAUUACUGGUUGACACAGGAAUAUGAAGGCCUGGCCCUCGUCUCAGCUUGGAAUAAAUCUGAAGGCCCAUCACAGCUUCAGAGAUGCUUGGAGAAGGCUGAGGUCUCCCCUGUAACCUUAUGAGAACCUUGAGUUGUUGAACUCAUUAAUUCUUUGGGACCAUCUUCCUGAUGUUCAAGUUUGUGAAACAGGCUUUCCCUUUAAGAUUUGUUUUCCUCAAAAUACAAGACUAUUGAUGCUUCAGUUUUGAAGUGGAUUCUGCACUCAAGAAAUGUACCAUUGAAGAAUGGGACUGGUAGGAAGGGAAAAAAACUAAAAGGAAACGCAUUUUCGAGUUGCACAUCAUGAUCAGGCACAGAGUCCAGAUACACUUGGAGUAGCAAGCAUCCAUCCUUGUGGAGACGCACAUGAACCAGGACUCUCUGCACCCACCCCUCUCAAGUUUUAUUUUCCGACGGCUGUAAUGUUCCAGGACACCUGCCAUCAUGGAGGGUUAUCCAGCACCUGGAGGAUACCUGCUACCUAUUUUGUGAACAAUUUGGCAUGAGGAGAGAAAGGAACCUGAAGUUUUUAGCAAGGAAGGGCCCUGAUGAUGGUUGCCUUCAACAUUGCCUCAAUACUCAACAUCCAAGACAGCCCUGGCUUAGCAACUGGAAUCACGGAUGGGGAAAAUUUUUUCUCAAGCACAUGUGAAAUUUGGCUGUCAGACCACCUUCAUCUGCACAGAAAGCUAAAUGUAUUGCCUAGUUUUGCAACUUCAUAUGACUGUUCGCCAAACUGGAAUAAUUGUUGCAUUUGUGUGUGACUUCUCAGUAUUCCUAUGGCAUUACCACCAUAGCACCCCUAUGUCAAAUGGUGAAAGAAUUAGGUGAGGUUUUGUGAACGUUUAGAGUAACUUUGUUUUUUUGCAUCAACAUUCAAGAAGCACUCCUUCCCUUCCACUGCAGUAGAACCUUGAGGUCCCUCUCAGAUUUCUGUGGGGUGUCUGUGGUCUGCUGGAGCAUGGCCAGGUCUGGGCAGCUGUCACUUUCCUUCUGCUUCCCAGUACAGAGGCCUAUCUGGUGCUCAGAAAAGCUUCCUAAGUAAGAAUGCAGGUGUCUCACAUUAAGAAGGGAACCUUCUGUCCAUCUCCAGCUUAAGUAUCAACGUAUCCAGCAGCCUCAAGUCUAUCCAAACCUUAUUCAUUUUUCCCCACUUUGUUUUCAUAAUUUGACCACAGAACUGAGCGUCAAGUAUAUAUGAACCCAAGUUGUUUGUUCUCUUGUAGUUUGUUUUAGUGUUGUUCUUUCAGAUUAUAAUCUCAGGGCAGGAGUUCUGUCAAAAUUCUCACUUGAUCUUAAAAAGCCAAUUACAGGGCAAGAUGAAAAGUGGCUUCUUAGUAAACAUUUGCUAGCUUGAUACCUGACUCCACUCCUGCCUAUUAAAAGCAUUUCGCUUGAAAGUAUGCAAUGGUUAGAAGCAUCUAGAAAGUCGAGGUCUGAUGAUUUCACACACAUAUUUUGGGGUGCUAAAUUAAAGCUCUCCUUUGUAAAACAGUGCAUGAUGUCUUGGUGCUCUCAGGAUUGAAUGGUGAACAUACUGGCAGAGGCAAUUUCAGAUCCAAGUGAAAGACAGUUUUCACCUGGUGGUAAGGGUAGAUGUGUACUGAAACAACAAUCUAGGGCCGUCUUCUUUGUACCACAAGCUUAAUAAUUUGUAUGGCUAUGCUGUCUUCUUAGCUGCUUGCUGGUGGUGAAAAUCAGUUAUUUUCACUGGCUGAUUGACAGUUGGCCAGCACUGACCCUUCUGAAGACCUGUAUUUAUUUCUUGGAGGGGGUACCCUUGGUUUUAUUUUAUUCCUUUUGCGCCCUCACCCUACUUCAUGCCUUGCUGGGAAUAGGAACAGUGGUGCAGACUUAAGAGAAGAGGCCAAGGAAGAGCAAGUGAAAUCUGCUGGUCACCGUAGAUUUAAGCCCUUAGGAGACAGGGUUGUGUUUCUCCUCCUGGCAGAGUUGCAAUGAGACAAUGUCUAUCAAAUACAAGAAGAGUGGCUGAGUUCAAGGAGGGGUAGAAAUCUGUCAAUGAAAAAUUCUAUAUCACAUUGAAGUUUGGUCAUAGAAGGUAGCUUCUGGUGUUCUGCCCCCUAACCAUGGCAUGCCAUGAUUUAGUCCGUAAUGGACACAGCUUAGUGGAGUUUGUUUCAUCUCCAAACUUCACUCAUUGUUUAAAGAUACUGGCUAGGUGUCAGCACAGCCUGGGCCAGGGAGAGACGAUGGCCCAUUAGUCAUCAUCUGUCAUGCCUAUGGACUGUAGGGACCAGAGCAUUUACACUCAGAAUCACAGAGAUAAUUAGCACAUUGAUGUCAUUGUUCCUAACCACUGAGGCCAUUGAUCCUGUCCCCAGCCUGACUUGAAGGUCUUUGGGAGUUCAGCCAGCCUCCCAACCUGCCUACCACUUUGUUCUAAGAAUCCUACUCAACAGUGGCUUGCAUUUUCUGCUUCUAAGUGGCUUUGCGAUUAUGUAGAAAUUCAUGACGUGAUUUUGUCCUGAUUGAAUAAAGUGCAUCACUUGGUAUAAGGCCUGUGUCUGCCUAUUCCAUUUGAGCUGUAUAUUUUUCAAUGAAGUGGGAUUGUGGUCUCAAUUCAAAUUUUUUUUUUCUAUUGCUUCUACUGCACCAUGAUGGAGCUAAAGAGAAAUGCCUCAUUCAUGAUUAUCAGCUAUGCAAAGAAUGUUCCUUGUGAUGUCUAUGCUAAGCUAGGUUUAGAAGGAAAGAGUAAAAUUUUCCUCAUGGUCUCUCCUUCCUCAG
rnacentral:lncRNA from 10 species